rnacentral:rRNA from 1 species
UACGUAGGGGGCAAGCGUUGUCCGGAUUUAUUGGGCGUAAAGAGCGUGUAGGCGGUUAGGUAGGUCCGUUGUGAAAACUCGAGGCUCAACCUCGAGACGCCGAUGGAAACCAUCUAACUAGAGUCCGGAAGAGGAGAGUGGAAUUCCUGGUGUAGCGGUGAAAUGCGCAGAUAUCAGGAAGAACACCCGUGGCGAAGGCGGCUUUCUGGGACGGUACUGACGCUGAGACGCGAAAGCGUGGGGAGCGAACAGG